rnacentral:lncRNA from 1 species
AAAGGUCAAUAUAAGUCUUAAAAUCCUCAUCUCCCUUCACUUCCUCUCACUAGACUUCUUUCUUUGUUCGAGCUGCCUUCUCUCAUCUUCAAACUACCUUCUUUCACUUACUUGUAUGUCGUCAACCUUUUUUAAUGAGCUCACCACGCCACAUGGUCGCAAAUUUUUGCUUCUCCCUUCUCUCCUAUAAGCUUUUGGUCUUUUUUGGUUAAUCUAGCACGAAAAUGUGCGACUUUUGUCAUCGUUGUGGUGCUUCCAUUCCCCAUCCCGGCACUUAGCCCCAUUGCCUUUUGAACUUUUGUUUUGUCCUCUCCGUUUUUUGUCCAUUAUUGUCAAUUAUACAAGAAAAUAUGAGACUUUAUUCUUUGUUAAGCUGCUUCUUCCCCCCACGUUGUUGCAUUCAGGCUAACACUUACCUCUAUGUAACCUCUUCAAGAGAACUCUACUUAGUAAAGUAGUUAUCCAACCCAAAACCAUUUGGAAAGAGAAAGAAAUACGAAACAGUUGCCAAUUUUUUAAUCUGUAAAUGAAAGUCAAU